ACUCAACCCCUCAUAACCCUAACUUCAAUCGCAUCAAUCUGCCAUUUAAUCCAAGCCUUUAAAAUCCUAAGUUCUAUCUGUUCAAGCUAUCCAAGAUUCAAACGCUACCAUUAAUUCGAUUUUAACAGUUAUUUAAUCAGUUAUUGAAUCAUUUGAAAGUGCCUGCAUCCAGAACAUCUCCACUUUCCAAACGUUAGGCAUCGACGAGACUCACUUGGUCAUGGGACAUAAGCAAAUAUGAUUCAUCUCUGGAAUCAUUAUUUAAAAUGCCAGCCGUUACUCAAAACAAGUCAUGUAAAAGGUGGUUAGGAGGAUGCAAUCAGUUAUGCCAACCAAGUUCCUUAUCAUGGUCUGUUGAGAGCUGAUCUUUUCUUUUUUGGGCGAGCGCAAAUUCAUCUCUUCAACCAUUAUAUAAAACUCUAGCCGUCGUGCUUGGUUUAAGUGGUUUAUAGUUUGUUCAAAUUAAUAUUCUCUUGGUUUAUAGCCGUUACUCAUCUUUAUUUUAGUCUCAUCGUUUCAUAUAGCAUCUCAAUACCCAAAGUUAUUGUGUAUUUAUGUUUGUAAUUUUUAAAUAAAUGUCCCCGUCUUUGAUUUGCACUUACAAGAAAUAUUUAUUAUAUAUUUAAAUUGUUCAACCCGUGUAACACACGGGGAACUAACCUAGUAAUAUCAUAUAUAAAUAUACCCCUUUCUCUUUCACUCUCUCUCCCACACACUUUGAACUCCUCUCUCUCUCUCUCUAAACAAACCAGCACCCACCACCACCAUCAGCCCUACCAACAACCACCGUUAAGCAUCAGAUCUGAAGCCUCGUGUUUCAACCACCGCCGCCGCCAUCACCUUCUGCCACCACCAGCAGCCACCGCCGGCACCCCACUGAAGCUUGUUCAUGUUUCAACCACCGCCGCCGCAAUCACCUCCUGCCACCACCACCAGCCACCGUCGGCACCCCACACCUCCUCUCUCUACAUCCGACGCCCAUGCUACCAACGUUGCAGUUCCUUCUCUUUUAGAUUCGCUGGUGGUCACCCGUUAAGUUCUGAAGAACUAAGUCCGUCGUUGCAAUUUAGUGGAUUUAGGACUGAUUUUAAUUUUGAAAUCUGGUUUUGGAUUAGAUUUUAGUUGUUAAGGAAUUGCUUGUUUGGGUUGAAUGAGCUUAUGAAGUAUUUAUCCUUA